GUGCCAGCAGCCGCGGUAAUACGUAGGCAGCAAGCGUUGUUCGGAGUUACUGGGCGUAAAGGGUGUGUAGGCGGUCUUUUAAGUUUGGUGUGAAAUCUCCCGGCUCAACUGGGAGGGUGCGCCGAAAACUGGAAGGCUAGAGUGCGGGAAGGGAGAGUGGAAUUCCUGGUGUAGCGGUGAAAUGCGUAGAUAUCAGGAGGAACACCGGUGGUGCAGACGGCUCUCUGGACCGCCACUGACGCUGAAACACGAAAGCGUGGGUAGCAAACAGGAUUAGAAACCCGCGUAGUCC
rnacentral:rRNA from 1 species